CACGUAGGCGGCUUUUUAAGUCAGGGGUGAAAUCCUGGAGCUCAACUCCAGAACUGCCUUUGAUACUGAGGAGCUUGAGUCCGGGAGAGGUGAGUGGAACUGCGAGUGUAGAGGUGAAAUUCGUAGAUAUUCGCAAGAACACCAGUGGCGAAGGCGGCUCACUGGCCCGGUACUGACGCUGAGGUGCGAAAGCGCGGGGAGCAAACA
rnacentral:rRNA from 1 species